rnacentral:misc_RNA from 1 species
GAUGAAGAACGUAGCGAAAUGCGAUAAGUAAUGUGAAUUGCAGAAUUCAGUGAAUCAUCGAAUCUUUGAACGCACAUUGUGCCCCUUGGUAUUCCAUGGGGCAUGCCUGUUCGAGCGUCAUUUGUACCUUCAAGCUCUGCUUGGUGUUGGGUGUUUGUCUCGCCUCUGCGUGUAGACUCGCCUCAAAACAAUUGGCAGCCGGCGUAUUGAUUUCGGAGCGCAGUACAUCUCGCGCUUUGCACUCAUAACGACGACGUCCAAAAGUACAUUUUUACACUCUUGACCUCGGAUCAGGUAGGGAUACCCGCUGAACUUAAGCAUAUCAAUAAGCGGAGGA